AAUAUCAGCCAUAUAAACUGUGAGAUUAAUGCACUGAGGGGCAUCGUUAUACCUAGAAAUAUGUAAAUGAAGGUACAAUUUCCCCUUUAAAGGAGCCGCUUGGUUUCCCUUUUCAGGCUACACCCAACCACGCAAAGUUUGUGCACCUUCCUCAAUCCAUUCCUAUCCAUUCCUUUCAUUGGUUACAGGGAGCAAAAAAUGAUCCUGUGGCUGAAUUUGGUGCCCUUCUUAGUCUUCCUUCAAGGUGUCCGAUGUGAGAUCCAGUUGGUGGAGUCUGGAGGGGAUGUGAGAAGACCUGGGGAGUCCCUCCGUCUCUCCUGCCAAGCCUCUGGAUUCUCCUUCAGCAGCUAUUGGAUGUACUGGGUGAGGCAGGCUCCAGGGAAAGGACUGGAAUGGGUGGCCCACAUAAAUGCAGGCUCAUCUCCUUUAACUCGCUACCCACAAAAAGUGAAGGGACGCUUCACCAUCUCCAGGGAUGAUUCUCGCAGCCAGCUGUAUCUGAAAAUGAACAGUCUCAAACUGAAGGAUUCUGCUGUUUAUUACUGUGCGAGAGACACAGUGAGAGGAAGCCAAGCAAAAACUAUUUUUUUUCCUCCGAGCAGCUUUCUGAAUAAAAUCAGAAAGUCAAAUUUCCAUAUUUAA